AAACCUCAAACUGAAAGAACAUUUUUUACAUGAUUAAGAUUAUUAUUGUUUUAACAAAUGAAUACGAUCAGAUAUUAUUUCUCAGAUCAGAAUCAACUAAUUAAAUGCCGUUUCAAAUUAUAUGGUGAAAUAAUAAAAUACAAUGGAAAGUGCAUGAUUUUUGAUUGGCCGAUUGACUCUGAAAACUAGCUAUUCACAAGCAACAACUUGCUUCUGAAUGGUCAUUUCAAGUAAUUGACAGUUGCCGUUGCCAAUGCUCAUCCAUAUCCUGUCUGGCUAAAGAUCCUACUGUAGGACUGUAGAGCUACAAAUGAGCAACGGACAGCGACGUUGAAGAGAACUGUUCAACAUCGAGUGAGCAGAGCGUUGAAGAUUCUUCCUGGUGAUCUGCUGCCCAUCAUCAACAGUGUUGGGGACUUCUGUGUGCUUCUUCUCACUUCCUGC